UACGUAGGGGGCAAGCGUUGUCCGGAAUCAUUGGGCGUAAAGAGCGUGUAGGCGGCCCGGUAAGUCCGCUGUGAAAGUCAAAGGCUCAACCUUUGAACGCCGACGGAUACUGCCGGGCUAGAGUCCGGAAGAGGCGAGUGGAAUUCCUGGUGUAGCGGUGGAAUGCGCAGAUAUCAGGAGGAACACCAAUAGCGAAGGCAGCUCGCUGGGACGGUACUGACGCUGAGGCGCGAAAGCGUGGGGAGCGAACAGG
rnacentral:rRNA from 1 species